GAUGAAGAACGUAGCGAAAUGCGAUAAGUAAUGUGAAUUGCAGAAUUCAGUGAAUCAUCGAAUCUUUGAACGCACAUUGCGCCCCUUGGUAUUCCGGGGGGCAUGCCUGUCCGAGCGUCAUUGCUGCCCUCAAGCACGGCUUGUGUGUUGGGCCUCCGUCCUCCUCCCGGGGGACGGGCCCGAAAGGCAGCGGCGGCACCGCGUCCGGUCCUCGAGCGUAUGGGGCUUCGUCACCCGCUCUUGUAGGCCCGGCCGGCGCUUGCCGACACAUCAAUCUUUUUUCCAGGUUGACCUCGGAUCAGGUAGGGAUACCCGCUGAACUUAAGCAUAUCAAUAAGCAGAGGA
rnacentral:misc_RNA from 1 species